rnacentral:rRNA from 1 species
GACGAACGCUGGAGGCGUGCUUAACACAUGCAAGUCGAACGAUGAAAUGGAGCUUGCUCCAUGGAUUAGUGGCGAACGGGUGAGUAACACGUGAAUAACCUGCCCUUAAUUUUGGAAUAACCCAGGGAAACCUGGGCUAAUACCGGAUAAGUAAACCUGUGGCAUCACAUGGCUUUGGAAAGUUUUUCGAUUAAGGUUGGAUUCGCGGCCUAUCAGCUUGUUGGUGAGGUAAUGGCUCACCAAGGCGACGACGGGUAGCCGGCCUGAGAGGGUGAACGGCCACACUGGGACUGAGACACGGCCCAGACUCCUACGGGAGGCAGCAGUGGGGAAUAUUGCGCAAUGGACGAAAGUCUGACGCAGCGACGCCUCGUGAGGGACGAAGGUCUUCGGAUUGUAAACCUCUUUCAGCAGGGACGAAGCGAAAGUGACGGUACCUGCAGAAGAAGCACCGGCUAACUAUGUGCCAGCCGCCGCUGUAA